GAACGCGAAGAACCUUACCCACCUUUGACAUGUAUGGAAUUUGCCAGAGAUGGCUUAGUGCUCGAAAGAGAGCCAUAACACAGGUGCUGCAUGGCUGUCGUCAGCUCGUGUCGUGAGAUGUUGGGUUAAGUCCCGCAACGAGCGCAACCCUUGUCAUUAGUUGCUACAUUUAGUUGGGCACUCUAAUGAGACUGCCGGUGACAAACCGGAGGAAGGUGGGGAUGACGUCAAGUCCUCAUGGCCCUUAUAGGUGGGGCUACACACGUCAUACAAUGGCUGGUACAGAGGGUUGCCAACCCGCAAGGGGGAGCUAAUCCCAUAAAGCCAGUCGUAGUCCGGAUCGCAGUCUGCAACUCGACUGCGUGAAGUCGGAAUCGCUAGUAAUCGCGGAUCAGCAUGUCGCGGUGAAUACGUUCCCGGGUCUUGUACACACC
rnacentral:rRNA from 1 species